UACGAACGCUGGCGGCGUGCUUAACACAUGCAAGUCGAACGGUAAGGCCCUUCGGGGUACACGAGUGGCGAACGGGUGAGUAACUCGUGGGUGAUCUGCCCUGCACUUCGGGAUAAGCCUGGGAAACUGGGUCUAAUACCGGAUAGGACCACUGCCUGCAUGGGUGGUGGUGGAAAGCUUUUGCGGUGUGGGAUGGGCCCGCGGCCUAUCAGCUUGUUGGUGGGGUGAUGGCCUACCAAGGCGACGACGGGUAGCCGGCCUGAGAGGGUGACCGGCCACACUGGGACUGAGAUACGGCCCAGACUCCUACGGGAAGCAGCAGUGGGGAAUAUUGCACAAUGGGCGCAAGCCUGAUGCAGCGACGCCGCGUGAGGGAUGACGGCCUUCGGGUUGUAAACCUCUUUCAGCACCGACGAAGCGCAAGUGACGGUAGGUGCAGAAGAAGGACCGGCCAACUACGUGCCAGCCGCCGCCGUAACAC
rnacentral:rRNA from 1 species